rnacentral:rRNA from 1 species
GUCGAGAAUCUUUCACAAUGGGGGCAACCCUGAUGGAGCGACGCCGCGUGGAGGAUAAGGUCUUCGGAUUGUAAACUCCUGUCAUGCGUGAACAAGGUUGCUUGGUUAAUACCUGGGCAAAUUGAUGGUAACGCAAGAGGAAGAGACGGCUAACUCUGUGCCAGCAGCCGCGGUAAUACAGAGGUCUCAAGCGUUGUUCGGAAUCACUGGGCGUAAAGGGUGCGUAGGUGGCGUGGUAAGUCAGAUGUGAAAGCCCGGGGCUCAACCUCGGAACUGCAUCCGAUACUGCCAUGCUAGAGUACUGGAGAGGUGACUAGAAUUCUCGGUGUAGCAGUGAAAUGCGUAGAUAUCGAUAGGAAUACCAAAGGCGUAGGCAGGUCACUGGACAGUUACUGACACUGAGGCACGAAGGCCAGGGGAGCGAACGGGAUUAGAUACCCGGGUAGUCC